AAUAGAUACCCGGGUAGUCCACGCCGUAAACGGUGGGCACUAGGUGUGGGCAGCAUUCCACGUUGUCCGUGCCGUAGCUAACGCAUUAAGUGCCCCGCCUGGGGAGUACGGCCGCAAGGCUAAAACUCAAAGGAAUUGACGGGGGGCCCGCACAAGCGGCGGAGCAUGUGGCUUAAUUCGACGCAACGCGAAGAACCUUACCAAGGCUUGACAUACACCGGAAACAUCCAGAGAUGGGUGCCCCCUUGUGGUCGGUGUACAGGUGGUGCAUGGCUGUCGUCAGCUCGUGUCGUGAGAUGUUGGGUUAAGUCCCGCAACGAGCGCAACCCUUGUCCCGUGUUGCCAGCAGGCCCUUGUGGUGCUGGGGACUCACGAGAGACCGCCGGGGUCAACUCGGAGGAAGGUGGGGACGACGUCAAGUCAUCAUGCCCCUUAUGUCUUGGGCUGCACACGUGCUACAAUGGCCGGUACAAAGAGCUGCGAUACCGUGAGGUGGAGCGAAUCUCAAAAAGCCGGUCUCAGUUCGGAUUGGGGU
rnacentral:rRNA from 1 species